UACAGAGGGUGCAAGCGUUGUUCGGAAUUAUUGGGCGUAAAGGGCGCGUAGGCGGUGCGGUAAGUCUGUAGUGAAAUCUCUGGGCUCAACUCAGAGUCUGCUGCAGAAACUGCCGUGCUUGAGUGUGGGAGAGGUCCACGGAAUUGCCGGUGUAGUGGUGAAAUGCGUAGAGAUCGGCAGGAACACCCAGGGGGAAACCAGUGGACUGGCACGGUGCUGACGCUCAGGUGCGAAAGCGUGGGGAGCGAACCGG
rnacentral:rRNA from 1 species